GACAUUGCAUACGGAAUUGGGAGCUUUGCAUACAGAGGAACACGCACAGCCAUGUGUGCGUAACAAACCCAGGUCCCCAGAUCCUCAAAGCCCCGGGCUGCACUUCCCCCUUCCGCUGCUGGAAAACACCUGUGUGUUUCAACUAACUCCGCAUCAGCCUACAAGCCUUCAUAAAGCAGCAGCGGUGGCUCCUCCUUCCUCUGGCUCUGUGGUUACCAGGGUGUCUCCCUGUAGGACAAAUGGUGGCACUCCCUGGCCAGGAGAUCCCAGGGGCUAAACUCUCUGCUGUCCACAUCAAAGCUCCAAGAUAUGCAGAAAUUUCCUGCAGGGCCUGACACCCCAGCAUGAAGCUGUACCGGUGGAGACUCGGGCACCUGGGCCGCGCUGUCCGGUGGCUCUUGCCGCUGGCCCUGCUGCUCUUCCUCCUGUUCACCCUGCCUUCUCUUGUUAAGGAACCCAGUACAAAGCCGUCCAGGCACCAGAAUAUGGAGAACAUGAAAGAAAGGUCUCUGGAGUGGCUACAGAAUGCUACACCCCAGGCACCCACAGCAGAAAGGAGGACAGCUGGCCGUGCGGUGUCAGCACGAGGGGACAGCAAGCUGGGGGCAGGCCCCGGA